GACGAACGCUGGCGGCGUGCCUAAUACAUGCAAGUAGAACGCACAGUUUAUACCGUAGCUUGCUACACCAUAGACUGUGAGUUGCGAACGGGUGAGUAACGCGUAGCUAACCUGCCUGGUAGCGGGGGAUAACUAUUGGAAACGAUAGCUAAUACCGCAUAAUAUUGAUUAUUGCAUGAUAAUUAAUUGAAAGGUGCAAUUGCACCACUACCAGAUGGACCUGCGUUGUAUUAGCUAGUAGGUGAGGUAACGGCUCACCUAGGCGACGAUACAUAGCCGACCUGGGAGGGUGAUCGGCCACACUGGGACUGAGACACGGCCCAGACUCCUACGGGAGGCAGCAGGAGGGAAUCUUCGGCAAUGGACGAAAGUCUGACCGAGCAACGCCGCGUGAGUGAAGAAGGGUUUCGGAUCGGAAAGCUCUGUUGUAAGAGAAGAACGGGUGUGAGAGUGGAAAGUUCACACUGUGACGGUAUCUUACCAGAAAGGGACGGCUAACUACGUG
rnacentral:rRNA from 1 species